UCAAAAAAUAAGUCUCAGUUCGGAUUGAAGGCUGAAUUCGCCUUCAUGAAGCCGGAAUUGCUAGUAAUGGCAGGUCAGCAUACUGCCGUGAAUACGUUCCCGGGCCUUGUACACACCGCCCGUCACACCAUGAGAGUUGGGAAUACCCGAAGCCUGUGAGCUAACUUUUAGAGGCAGCAGUCGAAGGUAGAAUCAAUGAUUGGGGUGAAGUCGUAACAAGGUAUC
rnacentral:rRNA from 1 species